AACAAAACAGUAUAUUGUUAAAAGACAUUAAACAAAAGAACAUUAAAAUCACUUAACUGUAUAGAAUUAAAUGUCAAAUGGCAGUAUCGUGUAUGCACAUCCCCUGAUGCCAAACUUAGGCUUCCUUCUCAGAAUUAAUGAAAAUUAAUAGCAACAUUAUGUGGUACAGGUAUCAUAUAACAUAUAUUCCAUUCUAAAGUAUUCAUAUUUGUGACAAAGCGCUAACACUUGAAAUA
rnacentral:lncRNA from 1 species